GUUUGCUUCAGCAGUACAUAUACUAAAAUUGAACUGAUACAGAAAAAGUUAACAUGGUUCCCUGCACAAGAAUAACGUGCAAAUUUGUGAAGCAUUCCAUAUGUAA